UCAAAUGAAAAAAAAAGGAAAAAAAUCCAAUCAUUCCUUGAAAUUUGGUAAUUUAAUCCGUGUAAUAAAGAUAUCAGAUAUUGCUAGGUUCGGUUACAAAUAAAUUGGGGAGUUUUUUUUUUUUUGAAUUUUAUUUAUAUAGUAGUAGUAGUAGACGACCCAAAUACUCUCUGCUUAUUAUGUUACGACGACGAUCAAAUCAGAUAAUAUAUUGAAUUCUCUCCAAAAUUUAUUCUUUGUUAAAAGUAUAAUCAGUUUCCACUCUGGUGACCAUCAAGUUUAAUCUUCUUCUUCCUCCUCUGCAACUCUUUAUGCCUCCGACCUACUUCCCUCUCCGGUGGGAGAGCACCGGCGAUCAGUGGUGGUACGCUACUCCCAUUGAUUACGCUGCCGCCAACUGCCAGUACGAUCUAGUCCGCGAGCUUCUCCGCAUCGACUCCAACAACCUCAUGAAGCUCACUUCCCUCCGCCGUAUUCGCCGCCUCGAGACCGUCUGGGACGACGACUCUCUCUUCCACGACGUCUCUGCCUGCCGAUCCCGCGUCGCUAAAAAGCUCCUCUCCGCCUGCGACGAGGGCGGCUCGAGAUCCAAGAGCAACACUCUUAUCCGCUCUGGGUACGGUGGCUGGCUGAUGUACACCGCAGCCUCCGCCGGAGAUCUUUCCUUUGUUCGCGAUCUCCUCGACAGGAACCCUCUUCUCGUGUUCGGCGAGGGAGAGUACGGCGUCACUGACAUACUCUACGCAGCUGCCAGAAGCAAAAACGACCACGUUUUCCGCCUCAUUUACGAUUUCGCCGUUGCUCCGAGGUUCGGUUUCGACCAGCAAAGUGCCGGUGAUAUCCCGGCGGCUUACAAAUGGGAGAUGAAGAACAGAGCGGUUCACUCUGCUUCCAGAGGAGGCAAUUUGAACCUUCUCAAAGAACUUGUCAGUGAUUGCUCUGUUGAAGAUGUCUUGGCCUUCCGAGACAAGCAGGGCUCCACGAUCCUCCACGCUGCUUCCGCCAAAGGAAAUACUCUGGUGGUUAAAGAGCUUGUGGCUUUAUACGGUUUGGUCGAGGCUGUGGACAACCAAGGGAACACGGCUUUGCACGUGGCAGCCUACCGCGGCCACGCUGAUCUUGUUGACGCUCUGAUCUUUGCGUCUCCAUCUUUGAUCCACGCUAGAAACAACGCCGGAGACACUUUCCUCCACGCUGGAAUCUCCGGUUUCCAGGCUCCGGCGUUCGAGAGGCUUGACAAGCACACGGACCUCAUGAACCGUCUGAUCACAUCCGCUGCCUCCAAAUCUCCAGGUGAUUUUGUGAAUUACAGGAACAACGAGGGACGCACGGCUCUUCACUUGGCCAUCUCUGGGAAUGUUCCUCUGGAGUUCGUUGAGAUGCUCAUGUCUGUGAAAUCGAUUGAUAUUAACGUACGUGACAGCGCUGGUAUGACUCCCCUUGAUCUCAUCAGGCAGAAGCCGCUAUCUCCUACCUCGGAUCUCUUGUUCCGACGCCUGGUAUCAGCCGGAGGGAUGUUCAGUUCUCGUGAUCAAAGCAUCACGAGUGUGGUCGCGUCUCACUUGAAGGACAGAGGAAACUUUUACAGCCCAGGAGCUCGUUUCAAGACGUCGGACGCUGACAUGUUCCUAAGCACCCGACUUGAUGUUGCGCCAGACAAGAUUGCUGUUGCUAGACACGUGAGGUCCAGCUCUUGUUCCAUUGAGAUUGGUCAGCUAAACGUUAUGGAUGAGGAUCAUCAUUUCAAGAAAUGCAGAAACGCGUCUGUUAACUCUGCAACGGAGAGACUGAAGAGCGUUUUCCACUGGCCGCGAGUCAAGAAGCAACCAGGCCAUUCCAAGAACGAUUCUGAGAUGAGCAUCGCUUCGACAGCUUUGGAGGCGCAAGAAACUCCGGUCCCUCUCCGACAGAGAUUCUCAAAAAGCAGCAGCACUGGCUCGCUUGCUCUGCCUAAUAGCAAUAAAAGAACGUUAUCGGUAAGAAGUAACCAGUCGAGUCCAAGAGCCAGGAAGAAGCGGAUUGGUACAGUGCGGUCUCGUUCUAGUUCUUUCUCGAAAAUAUCCAUCCACUCGUCUUCCACGUCUUCAACUUCGGGCAUGGUUGAUCUUAAACAGAAGGGAGUGAUGAUGGAUGCGAGCAUAGCCGGACCGUCUUCUGGCUUGAACAGGCCUGCGGUUACGGAGCAAGGGAAAAGUAAGCUAAACGAGAAGAAGGGUUCGUUGAGGAGGAGAUUGAAGAGCCAUUACUUUUGCUUUGGUGCUUCAGCUUUGUCAGUGAAAACGCCCACUACGGUCUUGGUAUAACCAGGUUAUUGGGUGAACCUGCAGAGCAAAACAGGGGAGUGACAAGUGAGAAAACCGAAAGAAAUAGUUGUUCAUCAGUCUUGGGGUUGUACUGAUGAUCAUAGCAGCUAUUGGGGGGGCUGCCCAAACUAAUCUAUAAUAUUAAAAUAGGCAGUCUGCCUAACUCCAAAUGCAAACUACCUAAAUACUGAAUGCACUGGGCUUUUCUGCAACAUUAUUUCCUUGUAGGUAUGG